GGGUCGAUGCCCGAGUGGCUAAAGGGGGGAGAUUGUAAAUCUCUUGGCUGACGCCUACGCUGGUUCGAAUCCAGCUCGGCCCA
rnacentral:tRNA from 1 species